rnacentral:rRNA from 1 species
UACGGAGGUGGCAAGCGUUGCUCGGAUUCAUUGGGUGUAAAGGGUCGGUAGGCGGUCCCAUAAGUGCUUGGUGAAAUCCCGCAGCUUAACUGCGGAACGCCCAGGUAGACUGUGGGACUUGAGGGCUGGAGAGGCAGACGGAAUUCCCGGUGUAAGGGUGAAAUCUGUAGAUAUCGGGAGGAACACCAGAGGCGAAGGCGGUCUGCUGGACAGCAUCUGACGCUGAGCGACGAAAGCGUGGGGAGCAAACAGG